GACGAACGCUGGCGGCGUGCUUAACACAUGCAAGUCGAACGGAAAGGCCCUGCUUUUGUGGGGUGCUCGAGUGGCGAACGGGUGAGUAACGCGUGAGUAACCUGCCCUUGACUUUGGGAUAACUUCAGGAAACUGGGGCUAAUACCGGAUAGGAGCUCCUGCUGCAUGGUGGGGGUUGGAAAGUUUCGGCGGUUGGGGAUGGACUCGCGGCUUAUCAGCCUGUUGGUGGGGUAGUGGCUUACCAAGGCUUUGACGGGUAGCCGGCCUGAGAGGGUGACCGGCCACAUUGGGACUGAGAUACGGCCCAGACUCCUACGGGAGGCAGCAGUGGGGAAUAUUGCACAAUGGGCGGAAGCCUGAUGCAGCAACGCCGCGUGCGGGAUGACGGCCUUCGGGUUGUAAACCGCUUUCGCCUGUGACGAAGCGUGAGUGACGGUAAUGGGUAAAGAAGCACCGGCUAGCUACGUG
rnacentral:rRNA from 1 species